AUGCCUUAAACUUAGGAAUAAGGAAAACCAUGAUUCGGAGUGACACCUGAAUGCUCAUUGCUAAUGUGAGAUGAAUUUUUGAGUUGGUAAAAGUGGCCCCUAAGUUGACCUGCCUACUUUCCUGGAUGCCUGGGAAUCGCAAUCUGUCUG
ensembl:snRNA U12 U12 minor spliceosomal RNA